rnacentral:RNase_MRP_RNA from 2 species
UCCAUAAACAAAGAAUUGUCAUCGAAGCUUACAAAAGGACAUGUUUUUUCAUGUCAUACGCUUAAUUCACUAGCGUAUUUGCUUCGGGGAAAGUCUCCUGUCACAGCAGCGGAAACGCGAUAGAAUAUCAUCAAUUCUAUUAGAUGUCUUCCUUAGAUUUCCAACAUUGGGCCCGAAUUCAGGUCUUUAUCAGUGCUGGAGAAUUGUGACUCACAAGUAUCCCCUGAUUAGACGAACCUCUCGGAGGGCAUGAAUGCACACCAAUCCCACCAUGACAGUAUGGCCGUGACAAGGCUGCGCGACAAGGUUGCGCGCGAUGUGCGGGGGGUAUGACCCCUGCCAUCCACAACAAUGGUUGAUUUCUACUGGAAAUUUUUUUUACUGGAUACGUGUGGGUGGAGGUAUAGAGCAAUUCGGUGGGUGCUCCAAGAAUGGUUUGCUUUCAGUUCGGUUUAAGUAUCGGUCGGUCAUUGGUUGAUCCUUGUUGUGAGUCGAGGCUCUGUCGAUGUUUAUGGUUGUGUUACUAGCUCGUACGGGCCGUGUGCAUCCUCGGGUGCACGAUUGUCUGUCCCCCCGGUUGGAUCGGGUGGUCAAGCUCUGGUACAUGCCUAAAGCUAUCUGUCAGACCAUGUUCUUACUGUCAAGGAGUUAGCCACACUGAAUCGAUUCUGCCGGUUUCAACUGUUUGCGACCUGUGGUGUCGCCUGCGCUAGGUCUUGUCUCAAUCUCUGAAUCCCCGCAGUUAAUUGCUUACGGAGCAAAGAAAAGGAUUAGCGUUUAAGUGCAGUGAACAUUGUUUGAAUAGAUACCGGUGUCCGUUGGGUCUUGGAUGAUGUUUAGAGGUUCCCAGUUUGGGUAUUUAAUUUCCCAGCUGGAUGUUGUGCCCGUUUCGGGUAUUACCAUUUUGACAAUGGGACUUUGUGUCCUGGACCAUAGUCAUGACGAUUGAUCAAUUUCGAUCAACCCAAUGGAGCUUACUCUUGUUUUAUGG